rnacentral:rRNA from 1 species
UGUUGCAGUUAAAAAGCUCGUAGUCGGAUUUCAGUAUUAGGCCCUUCUUCCAAUACGGUUGCUAGUGGUCUUUACUUCCUUAACAGAAUCUUUCAUCUCAUUAAUUUGGGGUGUUUGGGGCCUGUUUCUUUUACUUUGAGAAAAUUAGAGUGUUCAAAGCGGGUUUUCGCCUGGAUAUUACUCUUGGAAUAAUAAUAUAGGACUUUGGUUCUUUUUUGUUGGUGACUUAGAACCGAAGUAAUGAUUGAUAGGGACAGUUGGGGUCAUUCGUACUAUGAAGCGAGAGGUGAAAUUCAUGGACCUUUGUAUGACGAACUACUGCGAAAGCAUUUGACUAGGAUGUU